rnacentral:rRNA from 1 species
GACGAACGCUGGCGGCGCGCUUAACACAUGCAAGUCGAACGGAAAGGCCUGCUUUCCCUUGUGGAUUGCGGGUACUCGAGUGGCGAACGGGUGAGUAACACGUGAGUGAUCUGCCCCCAACUUGGGUAUAAGCCUGGGAAACUGGGUCUAAUUCCCGAUAGGACUGCAAGGUGGUGCCUGUGGUGGAAAACGAUUUUCUAGUGGUUGGGGAUGAGCUCGCGGCCUAUCAGCUUGUUGGUGGGGUAAUGGCCUACCAAGGCGGCGACGGGUAGCCGGCCUGAGAGGGUGGACGGCCACAUUGGGACUGAGAUACGGCCCAGACUCCUACGGGAGGCAGCAGUGGGGAAUAUUGCACAAUGGGCGGAAGCCUGAUGCAGCGACGCCGCGUGGGGGAUGACGGCCUUCGGGUUGUAAACUCCUUUCGACCGCGAGGAAGCCACCUGGUUGGAAGGGUGGUGACGGUAGUGGUAGAAGAAGCACCGGCUAACAACGU